rnacentral:lncRNA from 1 species
AUGACCGAUUUCACCACACGACCUGCCAGCCGGGCCCGCAGGAAGGCACAAAGCCAGCCCCGGACACCGGCGCCCUCCGCCGUCACGAGAGCCCCACGCUGCCCUCAGGGGGUGACCCAGACCCCAGAGGGCCCGCUCCCUCCUCACGGCGGCCGGCCGGGCCCCUCAGGCCGCAGGGAGGGGCCCUGGCCUCCGUCUAUUGUGCGGUUUCUGGCGCGACUACGACGCUGCCUGAAAAACUCUCUACCGGCCGCUCGUCCCCUCAAAUUCGUUUCGGUCCGCUGCCCCCUCCGCCCCUCACGGAAGGCGGAGCGAGUGUGGGUUUUUAGCGUUUGGGAGCCGCUGUCCGGCGUUUUGCUCAGGCGUUCGCACGGGGCAGCCCGGGUGUUGCGAGGCGGUGAGAGGCGGGUCCUUCCCCCGCCCCCCCUCAGUAUAAGAGCGCAGCCGCAGUCGGGCCGAGAGCCGCCACCGCCUCCUCACGGUCCGUUCGCGGAGCCACUGCUGCCUCACGGUGAGGCCCGAGCGGGGCGGGGAGGCGCGGGGCCAGUAAUAGGAACUGUGUGGAGGUGGCGGGCCCGGCCUCCCCGCCGGAGGGCCGGGAGGCCGUGGGGUGAUUGCGGGGGCCGGGGCGGGCGGAAAGAUGGGCGGUUCUGGGCCGUGCAGGGAUGGAGCUGCCAGGGUUCAUUGGGGCCGAGCCUUCCCGAGCUGUGCGGGAAUGAAACUCCCGCGGGGGCGGUGUGGGGAGCGUUGCCCGCGGGGAUGGCGAGUGAAGCUUUCGAGCAGACCGAGCCUCCCCCCCGCGGCUCCCUGGCAGCUGUACCUCCCCCUCCCGCCUCCCUCUGCCCCCCCGUGUCUCGGAGAGGCCGCGCCUCAGGUGUGAAUUCGUUACCUGGCUCCUGGUUACCGGCGCUGACGCGGGAGGUGAGGGGGAAGCAGCGGGCAUCCAUCCGGCAUGGCGCUGGGAGGCGCAGCUGUAGGUGGCUGAGCUCGGCGUUUCAGGCUUAG